CAGUAGCCGCGGUAAUACAGAGGGUGCAAGCGUUAAUCGGAUUUACUGGGCGUAAAGGGCGCGUAGGUGGUUAUUUAAGUGAGAUGUGAAAGCCCCGGGCUUAACCUGGGAACUGCAUCUUAUACUGGGUAACUGGAGUGCAGUAGAGGGUAGUGGAAUUUCCGGUGUAGCGGUGAAAUGCGUAGAUAUCGGAAGGAACACCAGUGGCGAAGGCGGCUACCUGGACUGAGACCGACACUGAGGCGCGAGAGCGUGGGGAGCAAACAGGAUUAGAUACCCCGGUAGUCCCUGUCUCUUAUAC
rnacentral:rRNA from 1 species